CUCCAAGUUGCUAUUAAUAAAUUUGCACUCGUGAACAUUUUGGGAAUUUUUAAACAGAAUAUUGUUUGUUGGCAACACUAAUACGGAACAGGAGACGAAAGCACGACCAGGAGUUAUUGCCAGUCAACAAAAGAAAGGAAAACAAGAAGAGAGAUAUACACACAGCUCGUGCCCCGGUUCCGGACCCAGCGUACCCAC
rnacentral:sRNA from 1 species